UUACUGUUCCAAUACUUAUGGAGGGCACUGUAUAUAUAUAUUACAAUAUUAUACAAUAUAUAUGGUCUAUUUUUUUUUCAGGUGACACUGCAGAUGGAGUGUAUGCCUCCAUUCCUGGAUUUCCACAAGCGACUUCAAACAGUGCUGGCUCUAAAAGCGACACAUUCCAGGCUCAGUAUGACUAUGUGGCUCAGGGCGCUGAUGAGCUCUCCAUCUCUGCGGGGGAAGUGCUGGUCGUGGUGGAACAGGGAGGAGACGGCUGGUGGACGGUGGAGAGGGAUGGCAAGACUGGGCUGGUGCCAGGCUCCUACUUGGCCAAGAUAUGAAUCAAGAGUCUAGCAAAAACUGCAAAGUCUCUCCAUGUCCUUAAACACUCUCUAAUAACAGAGUUAUUGAGGGCACUCCCUAUAAAAGUGUCUUAGAGGAGGAUUUGCUUGCUAAAUGCAUUUAAGCAGUAGCACAUCCACACUGAAAAUCUGUAUAGAACGUAGUAAAUAAAUCAAAACGGGUUCAUAUGUAUAUUAAAAACUGUUAGUUAUACAUGACUAUUGUAAUUGUUGAGAUAGAGAUUUAUAUUUAUUAUAAAAAUGUAUUUAUUGUGAAUGAAAAACAUAAGAAUGUUUAACAGAAAAUGAGUAGCCACUACGGACUUGCCAUGAUUUAGUUCACGCGAAGAUGCACAGCCUAAACAGAUUUUAGUGUACAUAGAUAUUUAAACAGAGUUCAAAAUUUCAUCUCUAUUUACUUUUUGGAAAGUUAAUCAGUGUGAUUUAUUUUUAAAAAUAUUAUAGCAUCUAUAAUAGAGCACUAGGUUCAGCAUUUUGCAUUUAUCACUUGUACUGCACAAAAUAAAAGCUAUGUAAUGAUCAUUGCAUCAUGUCGCCGUUGACAGAAUGUAAGUUGGAUAAUGGUUUGAACACUGUGGUUGGUUUUCAAGAGCACUGAAAGGCAGUUGGUUAAGAGAAACUAACCUGGGACAACCGUUUUAAAGUUUAAACACAAUGACCUUCUUUGUCUUGUCCCCAUGUUUCAAGUUUCCAAAAGGCCAAGGGACCAGUCCGUUAAAUUUCUCAGUCACGGUAUUGGACUUGUUCUAUCAUAUUUGAAAUGUGAAUGAAAUCCUAGUCUAUUUCUGCACAUAAAUGUCUAGAAAACAGUCAAUUACUUUGUUUCCCUCUUAAUUCUGUUUUCUUCAUCUCGCAUUUCGGUUUUUUUGUUUCCACCACCACACACACACACACAAAAACACAAUUGCAAUUACAAGUUCAUAGCUCACAAUUCUAAUUCAGUUUAUAAUUUAUAUAAACCUAGAACUGCAAGAUAUAAAAAGAAAUUAGAUGUAAUAUGAAAUUGCAGGUUGGUAGUAUAGUAACUUUCUUUACAAGCCUUUUUUUUUCAGUACACAAACCCAUGCUAAUUCUUUAUCAGGUAUCUGGUUAAAAAGUUUCACAUUGCUCUUUUGCACAGAUCUUAUUUCACCACUGUCAGGACCUGUUCAGUUACAGUGUUGUGCUGUUAUUUAGGGAUCCAAGAACGCAGCGACCUAACUUCCCCCUCUAGAUAAUGUGUGAUGGUAUGCUGCUUAGCAUGACCAUCUCUGCAAGCAGUUGGGACACACCCCCCUUCCUGGGAAAGGACUGAGCUUCGACCCUGUUCGUUGCUACUGUAUCAAGUGUUUAGGCCGCCUGACUGAAGAAAGACCCCAGACAAGGCAUCUUUCAACAUCUGUGAUGUGUUUUGUGUGCCUUGUGCACUAUGGAAUUGCUCAAGAGUGAGAAAACGGUCAUGAAUAAUAUAGUUGUGCUCCAAGAAGUUACAUUACAGAGCUUCAGACAAAAAAAUAAAUAAAUAAAAAAAAAGCAUCUUAAGCAUCAUCAAAUCUUUUC